UGUGACGGUCCAUAUUUACUUGUAGCGGGUCGCCACAAACGAACAUAUGAGAAACACUGCAGUACAUGUUGUGUUUGAGAGCAUCAACCAGAACCAGAAUAUAAAACAUUUAUUAACAUAAAUAUAUAUAUAUAUAUAUAUAAAACAAUGUGAAAAUUGGGUUAAUGGAAAUGUUUCAGCAAUGUAGAUAAAUACAACCACAAAUCCAUACUUACUGUAUGUCAUUAACAAAAAAACAAUAUAGCAUUUUUAAGCACAUGAAAUGACAUUAACUGAUCAUUUGGCUGUACUUGAAUGUUGAUAUUUUCAGGUAAGGACACUAAGGGGGUAUUCUGCGAAAGUGGCUCAACCAGCCCGGGCUUUGUGCUCAAGAUGCAGGUGAACGAAACCAGAGUUCCCCAAACAGAGUGGUAAAUGGUACGGCAACGGUGAUUAUCAACUUCCUUUGUCAAGUACGUUUCUCGGCUUUGCGCUCAGUGCGCGUUCACAUAAAAGGGGGCGUCAAAUUAUUCUACCUCCGUGCAAAAAUGAAGCGUAUUUACACAAGAUGAGCAAGUCAUUGUUAUGGAACAUUAUGAGGAGUUUAAGGAUUAUUACUGCCAGAACGAGGGAGCACUGCUGGCCGAAUAAUGCUGAGCGUGUAAAUGCGCAAGUUAACACUGAUUAUUAUAUUAUAAUAUAAAAAUAAAAUACAGCAACUGCCUUUUUCGUGUUUGAAAUAUGUCUAUUUGUCAGUUUACUGCUAAAUGUUUUAUCUUGUUGUGACCACUAAGUGGCAGUGUUGACGUUUUGUGGCGACCUUUGUUUUGUUAGAAUAAAGAAGGGUUUUCUUCCAGUUAAUUGAUGCCUCAGAGUGCUUAUUCCUCCAGCAAAUAUAAGAAGACUAACAGGCUGAGUACUCAUGCAAGGAGUGCUGUGACAUGUACGUCUGCAAACAGUGGCUGAGUUAAUAUUUCAUUUGCAUUUCAUACCUCAUGCGCGGGUGGAAAAGUGAGCAAAAGUAGUGUAUUCUCUCCGCUGAUAAUUAUCUUUUAUAGAGAACUUCAUCAGGGAAUGCUAGCGAAUCAGUGUGAUCUCAAAGUAGCCACUCCCGUCGCAGUGCUGCUCAAAUUGUUCUUGCUCCCAUGUCCACCGGGUUCUCAAUUAAUGGUGAGACCAUCUCUGAAUGAGUUACUGUGAAACCGCAACGCUUUCAUAUUCGAUUUUAAUGUGAAAGUCCGGACAUAAACUGGUGUUACCAUGGUGAUUCAUCCGCUGAACAGCCAAGCGUGGCUUUACACUCAACACCCUUCUUUUACCCACUAAACUAGUUUCGCAGAAUACCCUCUAAAUGCGAAUACGGAAUGAUGUUUAAGGUGAUAUCGCAAACAAUCUUCACUUGAUGCAGGCACUUGGAUUGUUCUAUGAGGCUGGGAUGGUGCCACCUAUAGGUGGUGUUGACAAUGGGGGCAGGAGGAGAGACUUGAGUUUUGCUGACAUGGCCGCUAUUUCUGGGUCUUGGGUUUCAUACAUCUUCACUAAUCUGGCAAAUUUGAGUACACCUAAAAGAGAGGCACACCCACAAUUAAACCGCCAAAAUUAUUUGAUAUUAAAAGCAAAAUAAUGGUUAAUGUUUAUCCUCUGGUACGAUUUCCAUUUGCACUAUUGCCUUUCAAAUGCAAUAAAGAGCCCAUCACAGGUAAUCGUGUGUGGAGUGUCAAGUGCAUUCAAGUGAAGCGGUCGUCCCACCUUCUCCUUCAUUGUUGAAUCCGUAAGCUUUGAUGACUUCCUGUUGGAUCUGAGUGGCCACGGGGAGCACCAGCUGCAGCAUCUUGCCCAUGUCGUUGCAGGCGCUCUCUCUGGCCUCCUCCAUCCGUACUGCAUUCUCUGGGACCGCGAAGGCCUGGAUCACCUCACUGAGCACCACUACGCCACACAUGAUAAUAAAAACACCGAUUUAUUUAGCCUCAGUAACAUGAGGUCCAGGUGUAACUUGAAACCAGAGUUAUGAUUAAUAAUGUUCGCCAUGAUUUUGUCAUUGUGUCGUCGCAUUAGUUCUCACAUUUGUAAGCGGUUUAAGUGCAAAAGGAAAGGAAAGGCACCCCAUAAUGGAGGGAAAAAAGCUUGUCAUCAGUCAUUCAAAUUAUUAGGGGCCAUUUGGUUGCAGAGGGAGCUAAUCCAACAGUGCCACCAAGUGCCCAACUGACAGAAGUAAUUUUGGGGAACGUUAUCCGUUGUGUACUUGGUUUGGUUUUAGUGUGAUUUUAGACCCUGUGUGUCAACACACCACGGGAAGGUGAGAUAUGAUGGUAAAUGCAAAAGUACAUAAAAUCGCUAAGCUCCACAAUGGGGUUCUACAAAUGAAUCUGGGUCGUGACUUCUCACCUCUAGUCUGCUCCACGGUCAGGGUGGGCUGUUGUGCUGGGGCAGAGGCCAUGUCUGAAAACAAAAGAGCCUGUUUAAUAACAUUUGUAUUAUAUUUUGAACAUCGUAAUCAGGUGAAUGGGCAAUGAAAACAGUUGCAAAACAUUAUUACAUAUUGUUACACUCAUAGUAAAGCUAAUGUUAGUACUGUAAAAGGGAGGUUUGUAAAGGAGCUAGUGUUAUGUGGCAACCAUCGUCGAUGUCUCAUACCCACACCUAAUUCAACGUUGAAUUUGGUGUGGUUAUGAUGCGUCUACGGUGGUUUACAAUACGCAUUUUUGAUAAUAACUUGUGACGUUUUAACCAUGUAAAAGCUGAUGCAUACUCAAUAAAAAUGCAGCAUAGUAAAAUGCAACUCACCACAACGUCAACAACAAGCUCGCUAGCCAAAAGCUUGGUGUGGCAAAACGGCACCUUUUCACGACAGUCACCAGACGUUUGCGACAGUACACCCUCCUUUCAGACAGCCGUGCUAGGAAAAGUAAACAACGUCAGAUAGCGACAGAAAUAUCACUAAAACGUGGUAAAGUGGCCGAUUCAGUACGUUUUAUUCAAGGAUAUAGGUUAUUGCUGUCAUUGUGGAGCAAGUUAGGAAGAUUACAUUAAUGUGAUCUCUUCUGCGUGGCCUGUCAUUUGUAAGAUUAUUGACAAUGGAGCGGAAACUUGCGGAGUUUAGGGCACGUCGACAGGGCGAAAAUGCUCCUAAUAUUAAUAAUAAAGAUCAAUUUGCUAAAGCUAACGUGGACACCACUACAAAUGACAGUCCACUUAAAGAGGAGACUUCAGAACACCCUCUAGGCCAGGACUCACAAAUGGAGGGUGGUAGUGACUGGCUGCUGGACAGCGCUCUUGGAAGAUGGCUGGCCUCAAAAAAAUAUGUCAUCUCAAGCAUCACGUUCCUCAAAGUUCUGCUCUGGCUGGUCCUGCUUGGCAUGUUUGCAGAACUGGAGUUUGGCUUGCCCUUC